GACGAACGCUGGCGGCGUGCCUAAUACAUGCAAGUCGAGCGAGUCUGCCUUGAAGAUCGGAGUGCUUGCACUCUGUGAAACAAGAUACAGGCUAGCGGCGGACGGGUGAGUAACACGUGGGUAACCUGCCCAAGAGAUCGGGAUAACACCUAGAAACAGAUGCUAAUACCGGAUAACAACAGAUGAUGCCUAUCAACUGUUUAAAAGAUGGUUCUGCUAUCACUCUUGGAUGGACCUGCGGUGCAUUAGCUAGUUGGUAGGGUAACGGCCUACCAAGGCGAUGAUGCAUAGCCGAGUUGAGAGACUGAUCGGCCACAUUGGGACUGAGACACGGCCCAAACUCCUACGGGAGGCAGCAGUAGGGAAUCUUCCACAAUGGACGCAAGUCUGAUGGAGCAACGCCGCGUGAGUGAAGAAGGGUUUCGGCUCGUAAAGCUCUGUUGUUGGUGAAGAAGGACAGGGGUAGUAACUGACCUUUGUUUGACGGUAAUCAAUUAGAAAGUCACGGCUAACUACGUG
rnacentral:rRNA from 1 species